rnacentral:rRNA from 1 species
UACAGAGGUCUCAAGCGUUGUUCGGAUUCAUUGGGCGUAAAGGGUGCGUAGGUGGCGCGAUAAGUCGGGUGUGAAAUCUCGGAGCUUAACUCCGAAAUUGCAUUCGAUACUGCCGUGCUCGAGGACUGGAGAGGAGACUGGAAUUCAUGGUGUAGCAGUGAAAUGCGUAGAGAUCAUGAGGAAGACCAGUGGCGAAGGCGGGUCUCUGGACAGUUCCUGACACUGAGGCACGAAGGCCAGGGGAGCAAACAGG